rnacentral:rRNA from 1 species
GGAUUAGAUACCCUGGUAGUCCACGCCGUAAACGAUGUGCACUAGAUCGAGGGGGUUUUGACGCCGCUCUCGGUCGAAGCGAAAGUGUUAAGUGCACCGCCUGGGGAGUACGGUCGCAAGGCUAAAACUCAAAGGAAUUGACGGGGGCUCACACAAGCGGUGGAGCAUGUGGCUUAAUUCGAAGCAACGCGAAGAACCUUAUCCUGGGUUUGACAUGCAUGGAUUAACCCUAUGAAAGUAGGGCUACGCGGCUUGCCGUGGAACAUGCACAGGUGCUGCAUGGCUGUCGUCAGCUCGUGCCG